rfam:Triticum aestivum genome assembly, contig: Triticum_aestivum_CS42_TGACv1_scaffold_063669_1DL
AAUGUACUCCCUCCGUCCAAAAUUUUUUGUCUUAGAUUUGUCUACUUACGGAUGUAUCUAUUCACAUUUUAGUGUUAGAUACAUCCGUAUCUAAAUAAAUUUAAGACAAGAAUUUUGGGACGGGGGGAGUACCAA